UCAAUUAAGCGGAGGAAAAGAAACCAACAGGGAUUGCCUUAGUAGCGGCGAGUGAAGCGGCAAAAGCUCAAAUUUGAAAUCUGGUACUUUCAGUAUCCGAGUUGUAAUUUGUAGAAGCAACUUUGGUGAUGGUCUUUGCAUAAGUUCCUUGGAAUAGGACGUCAUAGAGGGUGAGAAUCCCGUAUAUGGUGAAGAACCCACACUAUGUAAAGUGCUUUCGAAGAGUCGAGUUGUUUGGGAAUGCAGCUCAAAGUGGGUGGUAAAUUCCAUCUAAAGCUAAAUAUUGGCGAGAGACCGAUAGCGAACAAGUACUGUGAAGGAAAGAUGAAAAGAACUUUGAAAAGAGAGUGAAAAAGUACGUGAAAUUGUUGAAAGGGAAGGGAUCUAAAUCAGACAUGGUAUUUUGUGAUCAACAGUCUUUCGGGAUUGUGCACUCGCAUUUUACUAGGCCAGCAUCGGUUAGAAGGGGGUAAAAAAGAUUUUGGAAUGUGGCUCCUCGGAGUGUUAUAGCCAAAGUUAAUUGCCCCAUUUCUGACCGAGGACCGCGUCUUUUGACUAGGAUGCUGGCGUAAUGGUUUUGAUCCACCCGUCUUGAAA
rnacentral:rRNA from 1 species